UUGGUUAGCUAUACAGUUUCCAUGUAAGUUUUAGUUUUAGUUCAAAAUCUUUAAUUUAAUAUCUAAUGUUACUUAGUGUAUAUUAAAAUAUACACGUUAUUAUCUACCGUUGGUCACGAAAGGCAGCAGCUAAAAGGCGGCUAACGUUAACGUUGCCAUCCCAACGGCAGGAAGACAACGUGAUGGCUUCAACUGACAGAAUUUACCCAGCACCAACAAAGCAGACGUGAUUAAUGCCUUAUUACCAACAACAACACAUGUCGGAAACCGCCAACAGAUUAAAGCUGGGAAUAACCUUUCCGUGCUCUAAAUUGGGCCGUUAACGUGGUGUGAAAAAGGGAGUGUCCUGUGGAGAGACAGAAGGGGAGCGAGGCCAUCCAGAGCCAAGAUGAUACUGUCUCCUCCUGCUGCACCUUGGCUCCAUGCCUCCUCCUCUUCACCCCCCCACCCCAUCAUCUGAUUGUCUCUCCGGCCUUCACACGAACACAAACACACCGGUUUGGACACGCAUGCAGGCUGAGACUGCAGCUAGAAAAA